rnacentral:rRNA from 1 species
GCGGCAGACGGGUGAGUAAUACGUAGGCAAUCUACCCUUGAAUGGAAGAUAACUCGGCGAAAGUCGAGCUAAUAUUCCAUAUAAUCCCGGAGGGGCAUCUCCCUGGGAUGAAAGCAGCAAUGCGUUCAAGGAGGAGCCUGCGUCCUAUCAGCUAGUUGGCGGGGUAAUGGCCCACCAAGGCUUUGACGGGUAGCCGAUCUAAAAGGAUGACCGGCCACAAGGGCACUGAGACACGGGCCCUACUCC